CUUCUGCAACAGCUCUGGCUGUCUGAUUUAAUCCCAGAUUCUUCAUCAAGAAUCUUAACUCACUUUAUAGAACAGACAGUUUUGGGAAUGCCAUUGCACAGCUGAAGGAGCUGAGGCAGUGAGAGGGCAGCGAAUCAGCAUGAUGUAGAAAUGCCAGGAACAGGAGCUACCUCUCCUAGCUCUGGGCCUGCUUGUAUCAAAAGUGUGCAUUUCAGUGCAUGAAAUAGAGUAGGCUCCAAUUAAUCACGGAGGAGAGGUGUGAGCUGUAUAACCAUGUUUGAAGAGAAAUGUUUAGAAAUUGCAGAAAUCACAUCACUGACUGGUACACUCCUACUUUUACAGCUUCUGAAUGCAAACCAGCCCGUGUCUGGACCUCUGCUCUACACACAUUGGUAGGAAAAAAAAAAUCUGCUGGUCCUUGAUAAUUCAGGAACAGACACAAAAAUAAAUAUAGGGAACGAUGGACUGAUGCUUCUAGGAAGGCAAGCUGUGGGUUGAAUAAUGCAGGGGGAAAAAACAGAGAAGACAGAGUAGGAGGCAAAAGAAAGAAAGGUUUAGGGGAAGGAUUUUGUCUUAUCCAGUGCUUUUUUUGUGUGGCUCACUCCUGGCCUUAACUUUUAGGGUGAAAAGACCUUGUGACACAGCAGAGCUGGUGUGCAUUUGUCACAUGGAGAAAUAAUUUGAGGAGAGUACAGGUGUUUCCUGUGUUGCAGAAAUCAUCUCUACAGAGACUCUUGUUUGUGAUUACCCAAGACUUCAAAGAAAAUACCAAGAUGGAUGUGUAAAAGGUCCUGCCAAUAGCAGGAUCCACCAUCUAUUUCCUAGUAACUAAAACAGACACAGACACAGCUCCCAGGAAUGCCUAUGAGGAACCUCCAUCAAUGGCAGCUCUUCAAAACAGCCCUAGAUGUAAAGCCCCAUUUUUUUUCAGAGCAAGCUGCAUACAAUGACACUACUUUUCAGAGGUGCUGAAUAACCUAUUCUAACCUGAAACGCUUUGCUACACAUCCGAAAAUGAGGUGCUGAGAAGUACUGAGAAAUCUUUGGCUGGAAAACGAGGAAUCAGGAAGCUGGUGUGCUUUGCAAAUUCCGUAUCCACGUCUUCCCUCCUCAGAGCUUCAGUGCAGUGCAGGCACUGCCAGGUGGCUGCAGAGGAGCUGAUCUGUCAGGCAGGCGCUCUCACUGUGCCCUGGGCUUGGGUGGGAGGACCCGUGCGCAGACCUGUGACCUGAAGCACAGCCCUUCUGCGGGAGAGAAAAGAGCACAGCCUUGGGCAAUGAAACCUAAUUUCACUUCAAGGAGUGCUAGUUAAUAGGAACUCGGAGAAAGCAGGAUUAUACACAGUGACUGUUUCCAGUGAAGUACGAAAUGUCGGCAUCUCUCAUGGUCCAGUCACUGCAGAGCCUCUCCCGUGGGUGUUGGCUGACUUACAGUGAAUUAAGAUAAGGGGAGCUGGGUGGGUAAUUAAGGCUUUUACAUGCAUGUUUUGAAACAGGAUCCACUAAAUUCACAGCUAAAAUUUUGAAAAAAAGCAGAGUAGGUUAAGCUUUUUAAGUCCAUCGUGUUCUUACUUGCAAGAUGCAAAUCUUCGAGCUCUUGCUGUAGCAUCUCACUGGAAAAGGGGCUAUAAAUUGUAAAAUAUUUUACUUUUGUUGUUUGGGACAGUACAGAAACCAGAGAAAUAUUUUUAAUGAACAUUCUUCUUGUUCAAAGCAUUUCAGUAGCUCAGGUCUGAUAUUGUUUCAAAACUGUUUUCUCAAGGCCCUCCAGCACAUGGUGUUACGAAAAAAAAGUUGUCCGACUGGUUUUAACACAUCUUUUCAAUACUGAUAAGCAAAAGUUCACUGAAAUAAUUCCCAAUAAGAUACAUGUGGGGAUAUACCUUUCUUAAGCCUCUCUUGUUGGAUUCAAACUUCAGGGAGACCUGUUGCAUUCCAGACUUAAGCAGCCUCUUUCAAAGUUAUUAGAAAAGCACAGGGAUGCGUCAGAUGCUGUGCUGAGGAGCGCCUGUGUCACAUCCUGUUACCCGUGUCUGCUUUUAAACCUGUUUCAUAAGUGCAGCGACUGACUGACAGUCUUCAGCUGCAAACAUCUUUGAAACUACAUGAGCUGAGUUCCAAAAGAAAACACUGCUGUAUUUUGGUUGCCAGAGGUAAAACACUCGAUAAGUAGCUAGUUUUUCUUAAUUAAGUAAACGAUUUAAUCUUGAAGCUACUUUGCUUAACAAUGUCAUCAUUAAAAUGGUAAUGGGCUUCGAGGUCCUUAUUCAGCUUGGUAUGGCAUCCUACCUUUGCUGCUAUUGUUUCAUCCUGCUCACUCAGAAGUUUCUGCAAUUCAGUCCGGUAAGAGCAAGAUGCUAACCAAGGAACUAAAGCUCAAAAAUAGCAUGUGGCCAAAUCUUUGAGUCUAUCUUAAUAAGGUCCUCUCUAUCCUCCCCUUGAAGCCACACAGGCACUUCAGUAGGAUGCAAAAUGGUUCCUCUGCUAGGUAGAAGCAAAAUGAGGGAAAAUAUUUUUUAAUAUUAUUAUUAUCUAUUUUGGAAAUGAUGCUUUUAAAAGCCAGGGCACGCUAAAAUUACUCGGAAAAUAAGUAUUUUACUAAAAUAUGCACACUAGCUUGCUAUAACAUGAUUUGGUAAAAAUUAAUACUUUUUUUUUUUUUUUUUUUCUGUCUAAUAACCAUGGGACUCAGCUGAACACAGCUAGAAAAAGCCCUAUUUAAAUAGUGGGGUUUCCCCCCCUCCUGAUUUUCCAGUGUACAAAGCAAGUUAAAGCAGAAACAAAGGAAAAAUACUUUGGCAGAUGGAUGUAGCUAUCAAACCUGGAACUUUCCCAUGCUUCUUUUUCCACACUUGUGCAUUAACCACCAGUCUCUCACUGCAGACUAAGCCCAUGCCCAAAUCUUGGAAAUAAAGGUCUAGUCUGAGAUGCUGUUUAAAGCAGCCACAGGUUAAGGUCAAAUUCUCUGUUAUACCUAAGCUGUGCUUCAUGCUUUGUCACAUUAUCUGGUCCUUCUGGGGAGCUCUAAGACAUCCCUGCAGAUUUAGAGUGGCGUCAAGGUCCCUGUCAUUUACCCUUGAAUAAAAAGGCCUUUGCCAGAGCCAAGAAAAACUAGAAAGCAGCAACUUUCUGGCCCCACCUCCUUCCUCACAUCCCUGCAGAAAGGGGCGGGGGGAAUAGAUAGGAAACACCAUGCUCCUGCACAGAGCACAGGAGGAUUUUUGUGUUUCCAUAAGGCUUAGCUUGCCCUUUGCUUGGCCAGAGGGGCAUAAACAGGGCCCCAGACUAACAACAAAACCAGAUCCUCCUUGCCAGUAAGGGAAGGAAUGGUUGGUAGCACGAGUGCUUAUUCUAUCAUGUUUAAUUUUCCCCAGCUCACUGGGUUGCCUCAACACACAGGGAAAAUAUGCUGGCAACAGGUGGGACCAUCAAAACUUUCUGUGGGAGUCCCCAGAGAGAAAGUUUCUAACCUGGCAUUUUCACUGACAAUAACAGGGACUUGUGGGAUCCCCCUGCCCUGAUCUGCAAGACAGCUCAAGGGCAGAUGCCCUGGCAAGCAGAUGGGAGGAAAUAUUGUCCACUGACUGCUCAGCAUUGCCAGGAAAGUUGACAAAACCAAGUAACUUUCCACCAAAAAAAUAAGUAUGACAUACCUAAGCCAUUAUAGAUCUUGAAACUGAGGAUGAAGACUGCCUAAAUAUUUUUCUUUAUGGAGUCAAUAGGCUACAUUCAUCUAUAAGGUAUCACCCAGGCCCUCCACUGAGUUCUGUUAAAGAAAAGCUUUGUGGCCCAUAGCACUUAAACCAUUAUUAGUUUCUACUUUUUUUUUUUCUUUUUUUUUUUUUUUUUAAUAAAACAGGAGUAUUGGUACAAUAUUUUAGUUAUAUUUCACCACAAUAUUCUUAUAUCCAUGUAUCUUUUUUUAUUAAAUUCAUCUUUUAGUAGAAAAUUAUAGGAGAAAUCAACUCGAAAAAUUAUCUCAUGGAAAAAGUAGAAAGAGCAAUAUUCAUUAUGCAUCCUUGAAUGUCCUUGAAUUAAAGGGCAUGUCUGCUUUUAAACACUGAGUAGCUUU